rnacentral:rRNA from 1 species
CAGUAGCCACGGUAAUACGAAGGGUGCAAGCGUUAAUCGGAAUUACCGGGCGUAAAGCGCGUGUAGGCGGGUCCUUAAGUCAGAGGUGAAAUGCCAAGGCUCAACCUUGGAACUGCCUUUGAUACUGGGGAUCUUGAGUCCGGAAGAGGUAAGUGGAACUGCGAGUGAAGAGGUGAAAUUCGUAGAUAUUCGGAAGAACACCAGUGGCGAAGGCGGCUUACUGGCUCAUUCUAGACGCUGAGGUGCGAAAGCGUGGGGAGCAAACAGGAUUAGAUACCCGCGUAGUCCCUGUCUCUUAUAC